rnacentral:rRNA from 1 species
UGGGGAAUUUUGGACAAUGGGCGCAAGCCUGAUCCAGCCAUGCCGCGUGAGUGAAGAAGGCCUUCGGGUUGUAAAGCUCUUUCGGCCGGGAAGAAAUCGCAUUGGUUAAUACCUGGUGUGGAUGACGGUACCGGAAUAAGAAGCACCGGCUAACUACGUGCCAGCAGCCGCGGUAAUACGUAGGGUGCGAGCGUUAAUUGGAAUUACUGGGCGUAAAGCGUGCGCAGGCGGUUUUGUAAGACAGGCGUGAAAUCCCCGGGCUCAACCUGGGAACUGCGCUUGUGACUGCAAGGCUAGAGUACGGCAGAGGGGGUGGAAUUCCACGUGUAGCAGUGAAAUGCGUAGAGAUGUGGAGGAACACCAAUGGCGAAGGCAGCCCCCUGGGUCGAUACUGACGCUC